rnacentral:rRNA from 1 species
UGUGCCAGCAGCCGCGGUAAUACGUAGGGUGCGAGCGUUGUCCGGAAUUACUGGGCGUAAAGGGCUCGUAGGUGGUUUGUCGCGUCGUCUGUGAAAUUCCGGGGCUUAACUCCGGGCGUGCAGGCGAUACGGGCAUAACUUGAGUACUGUAGGGGUAACUGGAAUUCCUGGUGUAGCGGUGAAAUGCGCAGAUAUCAGGAGGAACACCGAUGGCGAAGGCAGGUUACUGGGCAGUUACUGACGCUGAGGAGCGAAAG